rnacentral:rRNA from 1 species
UACGGAGGAUCCAAGCGUUAUCCGGAAUCAUUGGGUUUAAAGGGUCCGUAGGCGGUCAGAUAAGUCAGUGGUGAAAGCCCAUCGCUCAACGAUGGAACGGCCAUUGAUACUGUCUGACUUGAAUUAUUAGGAAGUAACUAGAAUAUGUAGUGUAGCGGUGAAAUGCUUAGAUAUUACAUGGAAUACCAAUUGCGAAGGCAGGUUACUACUAAUGGAUUGACGCUGAUGGACGAAAGCGUGGGGAGCGAACAGG